rnacentral:lncRNA from 1 species
AUAGAAACAGCUGAAUUUGUAACCUCGUUCCUCUAUGCUUUAUAGUCUUUACGACGGAGCCGAAGCCAAUAAGUGUGUUUGUGGAUCCAGCCUUAUGCUUUGACUCAAAUUUUGUAGGCUUACAGCAUUUCUACAGUAUAGUUGACAACUCAAAAAAAGGUAAACUCCUUUUAAAAUUUUUACAAAAUCACAUUCUUCUGUAGUUUCUUUUUUAUUUUCAUAUAUAUAUAUAUGUAUAUACCAAAACAAAGAAUGAAAGAAAUGCCCCAAGCCAAACGGAUGGCGGAGGCUAUUUCAGUCAUUUCAAUGUACUAUUAAGUCUCUACCCUUCUUAAAACGAAAAUCCACUUGUCUGUGUAACAGAUAACCGUUGGCAAUUCAAAUUUCAAAACCCUCGAUCUCCUACCUUCAACGUUAUACGCUGGAAUAGAAUCCUGAAACACAUACAACUACACAAAUCGCAAAAGGAAAAUGGAAA